GACGUAGGGCGCGAGCGUUGUCCGGAUUUAUUGGGCGUAAAGAGCUCGUAGGCGGCUUGUCGCGUCGACUGUGAAAACCCGCGGCUCAACCGCGGGCCUGCAGCCGAUACGGGCAGGCUAGAGUUCGGUAGGGGAGACUGGAAUUCCUGGUGUAGCGGUGAAAUGCGCAGAUAUCAGGAGGAACACCAGUGGCGAAGGCGACUACCUGGCCUGUUCUUGACGCUGAGGCGCGAAAGCUAGGGGAGCAAACGGG
rnacentral:rRNA from 1 species